UACAGAGGUCUCGAGCGUUGUUCGGAUUCAUUGGGCGUAACGGGUGCGUAGUCGGCGCGGUAAGUCGGGUGUGAAAUUUCGGAGCUUAACUCCGAAACUGCAUUCGAUACUGCGGUGCUUGAGGACUGGAGAGGAGACUGGAAUUCAUGGUGUAGCAGUGAAAUGCGUAGAGAUCAUGAGGAAGACCAGUGGCGAAGGCGGGUCUCUGGACAGUGCAUGACACUGAGGCACGAAGGCCAGGGGAGCAAACGGG
rnacentral:rRNA from 1 species